rnacentral:tRNA from 1 species
AAACCCGUGGUUCAUUGGGUAGAACAUUCGACUUCUAAUCAAAAGGUCACGGGUUCG